CCUACGGGACGCAGCAGUGAGGAAUAUUGGUCAAUGGCCGGAAGGCUGAACCAGCCAAGCCGCGUGAAGGAAGACGGUGCUAAGCAUUGUAAACUUCUUUUGUCAAGGGACAAAAUCCGCCUCGAGAGCCUGUCCGAGGGUACUUGAAGAAAAAGCAUCGGCUAACUCCGUGCCAGCAGCCGCGGUAAUACGGAGGAUGCGAGCGUUAUCCGGAUUUAUUGGGUUUAAAGGGUGCGCAGGCGGACUGUUAAGUCAGCGGUAAAA
rnacentral:rRNA from 1 species